CAUCUCUAGAUCAUAAGCAUUUUCAUCUAUCUACAGAAGGGAUAAAGGGAAAGCUUACAGCCAUAUUCUGUACACAGUAAGUGCUCAGGAUGUACUUGUGUCUCAACUUCUAUGUAGAGAAGAGUACUAUCAAUGUUGCCUUCCCUGCUUCUCAUUUUGUAGAUCUCCUUAAAGUGUUUGGGUAUGCUUGAUUUUAAGUGAGUUAAACAGAAGUUAAAGGAUAGAAUAGGGCUGGGAAUGUGGCUUAGAGGUAG